AGCAGUAGCCACGGUAAUACGUAGGGUGCAAGCGUUAAUCGGAAUUACUGGGCGUAAAGCGUGCGCAGGCGGUUUGUUAAGACAGAUGUGAAAUCCCCGGGCUCAACCUGGGAACUGCAUUUGUGACUGGCAAGCUAGAGUAUGGCAGAGGGGGGUGGAAUUCCGCGUGCAGCAGUGAAAUGCGUAGAUAUGCGGAGGAACACCGAUGGCGAAGGCAGCCCCCUGGGCCAAUACUGACGCUCAUGCACGAAAGCGUGGGGAGCAAACAGGAUUAGAUACCCCGGUAGUCCCUGUCUCUUAUAC
rnacentral:rRNA from 1 species